GGAGAGGUCGCCUAGUGGCCUAGGGCGGUAGUCUUGAAAACUACUAGGGCUGCAAAGUCCUCGCGAGUUCGAAUCUCGCCCUCUCCG
rnacentral:tRNA from 1 species